CCAGUAUUUAUAGGAAGGAAUGGCUAAUGUAAGGUCCCAGAGAAGGUUAAUUUACCUAAUCAAGGUCACACGUCUUUCCACAGCAGCCAGUUGGUAGCACAGAAAACAUAUACCAGAUUUAAGAACCUGGAAAGAACACCAGUGACUAUCCUGAUACCCAGGCUUGCCGUCAGCUGACAGGGUCAAGUGCAUCGGAUGGAGUCUCACUCUUUCGCCAGGCUGGAGUGCAGUGGCAUGAUCUUGGCUCACUGCAACUUCCGUCUUCCAGGUUCAAGCGAUUCUCUUGCCUCAGCCUCCUGAGUAGCUGGGACUACAGG